UCAACAUGGCGUCUAGCAGACUAUUGGAGCCGAAGAGCAGCGAGUUUACGAGUUGACGACGUUCUGUUGAUCUUUCGUACAGGUCUUUAACCAACCGAUUAAAUUUUCCAUCUCCAAAAAAUGGCCGAAGGCGAAAAAGAGCUAACGGGUUUGGCAAAACAUUUUAAUAGCCAAACUAUGUACGGCCGAGCAAAUGUAACGAAGGCCACAUAUGUCGGAUUAGGAAUAAUCGCUCUGUACUUCGCAUUGAGGAAGAAGAAGAAGACGUAGUUCCUGAAUUAAGAUCGCAGUCAUGUUAUGUAAUAACCAAUACGUUUGGCCGUAUAAUAUUUUACAAAUUUCUUCAAAUAAAUAGUUAAAUGUUUCUUUUAUAAAUUUAUUUUGGUCGUUACUUAGUACUUGGUCUACUUUAUGUUGAUAUCACAUGUUAACGUAGACAACUAUCAAAUAGUGUCAUUAUGAACAAGUGCGAUCGGUGGAAAAAAAACAGUUUAACAUCUGUUAAUUUUCUGCUGAAAUAUAGAAUGU